AAAUUCUAAUGUUGCAGGACCAAGUGAGGAGAUAUUAACAGCAGCUCAGUUGAUGCAAGAAAGAAAGGAAAAGUUUCAGUUAGGAAUAAAAGUUGAAAGCAUUCUGUCAUACUAAGUAGCAGCGAUUUCCGGUAUUAACCGGAAAUACGUAGUAUUGUGUAAAAGUUCCCCCUAGAGGGUGCAUAUCGAAACUAAAGUUUCAGUUAUGAAGUUAAAAUCGUUCAUGUGUGCAAUUGAUAUGCCAGAAACCAGUAGAUUAAAUGAAAGGAUUGUGGAUAAGUGUAUAGAAGGAAAAGAGAAGAAUGGUCAAUAUUGGAAUAG